UACAGAGGAGCCAAGCGUUGUCCGGAUUGACUGGGCGUAAAGCGCACGCAGGCGGUCGCGCGCGUGGGGUGUGAAAUCUGGCCGCUUAACGGCCAGGCGCCAUCCCAUACGGCGCGACUGGAGUGAUGCAGAGGUCGAUGGAAUUGCCGGUGUAGUGGUGAAAUGCGUAGAGAUCGGCAGGAACACCCAGGGGGAAACCAGUCGACUGGGCAUCUACUGACGCUGAGGUGCGAGAGCGUGGGGAGCGAACCGG
rnacentral:rRNA from 1 species